rnacentral:tRNA from 1 species
AAGAUUUAUAGAGUACUUCUGGCCUGCUAAGCCAAGAAGUCCGUGGUUUAAUUCCAUGGAAAUCUUG